GACAGAGGCCUCGAGCGUUAGGCGGAAUCACUGGGCUUAAAGCGUGUGUAGGCGGGCCCGUAAGUGUCUUGUGAAAUCCCACGGCUCAACCGUGGAACUGCUGGGCAUACUGCGGGUCUUGGGCCAACUAGGGGCAGCCGGAACAAGCGGUGGAGCGGUGAAAUGCGUAGAUAUCAGGAAGAACACCCGUGGCGAAGGCGGUUCUCUGGGACGGUACUGACGCUGAGACGCGAAAGCGUGGGGAGCGAACAGG
rnacentral:rRNA from 1 species